rnacentral:rRNA from 1 species
AGAGUCCUACGGGAGGCAGCAGUGGGGAAUAUUGCACAAUGGGGGAAACCCUGAUGCAGCGACGCCGCGUGAGUGAAGAAGUAUCUCGGUACGUAAAGCUCUAUCAGCAGGGAAGAAAAAAAGUCUUUGGCUUUGGACGGUACCUGACUAAGAAGCCCCGGCUAACUACGUGCCAGCAGCCGCGGUAAUACGUAGGGGGCAAGCGUUAUCCGGAUUUAUUGGGUGUAAAGGGUGCGUAGACGGGAAGGCAAGUUGGUUGUGAAAUCCCUCGGCUUAACUGAGGAACUGCAACCAAAACUAUCUUU